CAAUUGUCUUGUAAUUGGAAUGAUGGUGACCUAAACCCUCACCAGAGUAACAAUUGGAGGGCAAGUCUGGUGCCAGCAGCCGCGGUAAUUCCAGCUCCAAUAGCGUAUAUUAAACUUGUUGCAGUUAAAAAGCUCGUAGUUGAAUUUCUGCGUCACCGUAUUUUGACUUUUGUCGACUGUCGGUUUCGCUUUUGGGAUUUAUCCCUUUUUACUUUGAGAAAAUUAGAGUGUUUCAAGCAGACUUUUGUCUUGAAUACUUCAGCAUGGAAUAAUAGAGUAGGACUUUGGUUCUAUUUUGUUGGUUUGUGAACCUUAGUAAUGGUUAAUAAGAACGGUUGGGGGCAU
rnacentral:rRNA from 1 species